UACGGAGGGUGCAAACGUUGCUCGGAAUUAUUGGGCGUAAAGAGCUCGUAGGCGGUUUGUCGCGUCUGCCGUGAAAGUCCGGGGCUCAACUCCGGAUCUGCGGUGGGUACGGGCAGACUAGAGUGAUGUAGGGGAGACUGGAAUUCCUGGUGUAGCGGUGAAAUGCGCAGAUAUCAGGAGGAACACCGAUGGCGAAGGCAGGUCUCUGGGCAUUAACUGACGCUGAGGAGCGAAAGCAUGGGGAGCGAACAGG
rnacentral:rRNA from 1 species